AGACGUCUACAUUAGAUACCCGGGUAGUCCCAGCUGUAAACGAUGCAGGCUAGGUGUUUGGACGGCCACGUGCCGUUCUAGUGCCGCAGGGAAGCUGUUAAGCCUGCCGCCUGGGGAGUACGAUCGCAAGAUUGAAACUUAAAGGAAUUGGCGGGGGAGCACCACAAGGGGUGAAGCUUGCGGUUUAAUUGGAGUCAACGCCGGAAAUCUCACCGGAAGCGACAGCAGUGUGAAGGCCAGAUUAAAGGUCUUGCCAGACGAGCUG
rnacentral:rRNA from 1 species